UACCAGCACCCCGAGUGGUCGGGACGAUUAUUGGGCCUAAAGCAUCCGUAGCCGGUUCUACAAGUCUUCCGUUAAAUCCACCUGCUUAACAGAUGGGCUGCGGAGGAUACUAUAGAGCUAGGAGGCGGGAGAGGCAAGCGGUACUUAGUGGGUAGGGGUAAAAUCCGUUAAUCCAUUGAAGACCACCAGUGGCGAAGGCGGCUUGCCAGAACGCACUCGACGGUGAGGGAUGAAAGCUGGGGGAGCAAACCGG
rnacentral:rRNA from 1 species